AUCACCUACACAACAGCACCUAUAGCAACAUCACCUACACAACAUCACCUACAGCAACAACACCUAUAGCAACAUCACCUAUACAGCAACAACACCUAUAGCAACAUCACCUACAGCAACAACACCUACAGCAACUACACUUAUACAACAGCACCUACAGUAACAACACCUAUAGUAACUGUACCUAUAGCAACAGCACCUACAGCAACAACACCUAUAGCAACUACACCUAUACAACAGCAUCUACAGUAACAACACCUAUAGUAACAGUACCUAUAGCAACAUCACCUACAGCAACAACACCUACAGCAACUACACCUAUACAACAUCACCUAUACAGCAACAACACCUAUAGCAACAUCCCCUAUACAGCAGCACCUACAGCAACAACACCUAUACAACAGCACCUACAGCAACAACACCUAUAGCAACUACACCUAUACAACAGCAUCUACAGUAACAACACCUAUAGUAACAGUACCUAUAGCAACAUCACCUACAGCAACAACACCUACAGCAACUACACCUAUACAACAUCACCUAUACAGCAACAACACCUAUAGCAACAUCCCCUAUACAGCAGCACCUACAGCAACAACACCUAUAGCAACAUCACCUAUACAGCAGCACCUACAGUAACAACACCUAUAGCAACAGCACCUACAGCAACAACACCUACAGCAACUACACUUAUACAACAGCACCUAUAGCAACAUCAUCUACAGCAACAACACCUACAGCAACGUGUCUUCAGUGAUGCUGUGGAAUGUGGUAGUGGAGCUGUUUCUUUUGUUGGUUUCUCCUCUUUACUGUGGAAACCGUGUGCUUUUAGCUCCAGCCCUCAUCACUGUAUGUGAUUGAUUGUGUUCUGAGAGAGAGAGAGAGAGAAUGCGUGUGUCUGUUUGUGUGUAUGCGUGUGUGUGUGUGUGUGUCUGUCUGUUUGUGUGUAUGCGUGUGUGUGUGUGUGUGUGUGUUCUAAAACUGAAGUAUUUGAUUGGUUCUUUUUAUGUUCAAAGCUUUGGAAUGUAGGUCAGAUGAACAUUUCUCCUGGAUUGGUUAAAUAUACUUCCAAUUCUCUCUCUCUCUCUCUCUCUCUCUCUCUCUCUCUCUGUCAAGUAAAUACUUCCUACAUUAAGAUGGUAUGACUUGUUAAUGUCUCGAUGAAUAUUGGAUGACCUGUAACUCUAUUAGCGUUAAUUGAUGGGUCUUUUGACGUCUUAGUUAGUUGUAAUUGUCAGGGAGAUGGAACAAAUUCAAAUCCCCCCACACGUCUUAGUUAGUGUUUUACCUCAGAAGUCACUAGGUGUAACUCAUUAGGGGACUUCAUCCCGGUAAUAUAAGGUCAUUGCAGAGAGAUUUACUUUCUUUGCUUUGGUUCCGUCCAGCCCCUUUUCCCCAUAUUACCGUGUAAAGGAAUAAAGUCCUUGUCAAUGGUACCACAUUCUGCCUGUUGUCAUCCUUACUCGCACCUACAGUCCAUACCUCUUUCACUUCACGGAGAGUUUAGUUGUAGCAGGGUGUUGCGUUCCCUCUUCAUAGAGGCGUGCAUAAUUAGCCAGUGUUUUCCCCCAUAGUCACUAGAUGGCGGUAUAGAUGUAUUACUGCACCACCACUCUGAAAGCUCUUCCUUGUUAGUACAAUUUGGGCAAGUCCAAGCAUGCCUCUCAGGCCCCUUGAAUGGAAGUAACAAGCACACUACAAAUAGCACUCUGUUCCCUAUAUAGUGCAUUAUUUUUGCCUUCUCACUCUUUUUACCAGGCUUUAUUUCUCCAAAAGUGUGACUUGUAUAUUAAUACAGGAAUACUUUGGAUGUGAUAGUUAAAGUGUAAGUGCAGUGCAGCCGUCAUUCUGUUAAUGAACCUCGGGUCUGAGUUGUUCUAUGGUAUAUUUAUUUUUGUGGACAGUUGUCCCUGUGCAUAGAGUUGUAUAGUUUAUUGUAAUCAUUCAUUUUUAGUAUGACUUAUAUUUUGAAGUGAGAAUUGUGAAUGUCAGCAUCACUAUGUUACCGUUGAAUUGCCAAUAUACUAUAGUUUGGCAUAAUGUAAAGCAGCUAUUGAUUAUUUUAUAAAGUAGCAUAU
rnacentral:lncRNA from 13 species